CGCCUUCUGGGUCGUACGUAGUCGGUUCCGACACUCUUGAACCUAGUUUAAAACCCCCGGGAGCUGGGGCAGCAGUUGUUGUGCAAGACCGCCAGAGUAGCGGGAAGCCUGAAAGUGCUGACGUGCUCCCGUCCUGAACCUUACUGGUUCAAGGACCCGGUCCCGGGUACGGCUUCACCGGUUGGCUU
rnacentral:other from 1 species